rnacentral:rRNA from 1 species
GCUUGCUCUUAUGAAGUUAGCGGCGGACGGGUGAGUAACACGUGGGUAACCUGCCCAUAAAACUGGGAUAACUCCGGGAAACCGGGGCUAAUACCGGAUAACAUUUUGAACCGCAUGGUUCGAAAUUGAAAGGCGGCUUCGGCUGUCACUUAUGGAUGGACCCGCGUCGCAUUAGCUAGUUGGUGAGGUAACGGCUCACCAAGGCAACGAUGCGUAGCCGACCUGAGAGGGUGAUCGGCCACACUGGGACUGAGACACGGCCCACACUCCUACGGGAGGCAGCAGUAGGGAAUCUUCCGCAAUGGACGAAAGUCUGACGGAGCAACGCCGCGUGAGUGAUGAAGGCUUUCGGGUCGUAAAACUCUGUUGUUAGGGAAAAACAAGUGCUA